GUAUCUUUCUUCGCCUCACGCUUCAUCAAACUCUGGUAGAACUCAACCACUUCAGGAGCCCGGUGAACUUUUUCACCACCAGCUGUUCUUGACAGACUUCCAGGUGGAGGAGGUGGUCGAGGUGGCCCACCAGGUACUGGUGGUGGAGGCGGAGCACCUGGUGGAGGUGGUGGUGGGGGUGGACCACCUGAAAGACCACUCGAAGGUGCAGCAUUUGACACAGCAGAAGCCCCUCUGGUUGGUUUAGGAGGAGGUCGAAGGACCCUGGGUGGUCUCUUCUCAAUAUCAGCGAAUUUCAUUCUGCUCACUGCUUGAGAAUCAACCAUCU
rnacentral:lncRNA from 1 species